UGCAUGCUCGAAAAGGAAGCUCAUUGAAGUCUUGGUUUUUUAGGUAGACAGAAAUCCAUGAAAAAUUUUAAUCUCUGGAGCAGAUGGUGGCAGUUUUAACUCGCCACAUCAAGAAAGCAGACCUGGCCUUUGCUGGAAAACUAAAUGCUUAAAUUACAUAUAUCAUAUAUGUGUGAUUUUCCUAGCUAUUUUCAGCCCAGGUUAAUGCAUGGGUGCACUUCCAUUCGUUUAUGAAUUUCUAGGUUUUAAGGGUUUAUACUUUCUUAAGAUGAUUCGUAUGUGAAACUUUCCAAUAUAAUAUCCUGAUUGAUGUGAACCUGAGGAAUGUUUGUCAAAGUGAAGAAGACGUGCUUCUCAUGUUGGAUGAUUUAUUGCAUGGUUGGUGUCUUCCAUCAUAAACUAAUUGGUCUGGUUGUGCAUUCCUUACUUGAAAGAGCUACAUAAUUCUUCACUGGGGAAAUGUUUCAGUUGAAGAAAUGUGUCCUGUAUACUUUCAUGGAGUUCUUUGGGAUGCAGUGAUUGUUAGUUUGACAGGUGGUUGUUGGGCAAGGAUUUUAUUGUAGUGUUGGAAAUUGGUGUCUUUGUUUGAAGGUUAAAGGU
rnacentral:misc_RNA from 1 species